rnacentral:tRNA from 1 species
GGUGGCAUAGCCAAGUGGUUAAGGCAUAGGUCUGCAAAACCUUGAUCCCCCGGUUCAAAUCCGGGUGCCACCU